UAGGUCAGUUCUGAAUCAUGCUGUUCUGUAUAGUUCCUAAUUCUAUAGAAUUGGUUAAUAACUGUAUUCUUUGGUAAGAUUUCUCUGGUGACACAUUGACCACAAUGCUGUAUUGAAAUAUCAAGUUCCUGAGCCCAGGAAUUUUGAAAGGUUGGACUCGUGCAAUCAGGAGGCCCUCUAAUUAGACUCUCUCAAAACAAGGAAAUUCAAAGGUUAGAUGCAGAAAAGAAAAUUAUGAGUUGGAUGGAAUCUUUGUCAAAUUCUACAACUCCAGGUCACGAACGAAAACCUGACUUCUAAGAAGCAAA